rnacentral:rRNA from 1 species
UUGAACGCUGGCGGCAGGCCUAACACAUGCAAGUCGAGCGGUAGCACAGAGAGCUUGCUCUCGGGUGACGAGCGGCGGACGGGUGAGUAAUGUCUGGGAAACUGCCUGAUGGAGGGGGAUAACUACUGGAAACGGUAGCUAAUACCGCAUAACGUCGCAAGACCAAAGUGGGGGACCUUCGGGCCUCAUGCCAUCAGAUGUGCCCAGAUGGGAUUAGCUAGUAGGUGGGGUAACGGCUCACCUAGGCGACGAUCCCUAGCUGGUCUGAGAGGAUGACCAGCCACACUGGAACUGAGACACGGUCCAGACUCCUACGGGAGGCAGCAGUGGGGAAUAUUGCACAAUGGGCGCAAGCCUGAUGCAGCCAUGCCGCGUGUGUGAAGAAGGCCUUCGGGUUGUAAAGCACUUUCAGCGGGGAGGAAGGCGGUGAGGUUAAUAACCUCAUCGAUUGACGUUACCCGCAGAAGAAGCACCGGCUAACUCCGUGCCAGCAGCCGCGGUAAUACGGAGGGUGCAAGCGUUAAUCGGAAUUACUGGGCGUAAAGCGCACGCAGGCGGUCUGUCAAGUCGGAUGUGAAAUCCCCGGGCUCAACCUGGGAACUGCAUUCGAAACUGGCAGGCUAGAGUCUUGUAGAGGGGGGUAGAAUUCCAGGUGUAGCGGUGAAAUGCGUAGAGAUCUGGAGGAAUACCGGUGGCGAAGGCGGCCCCCUGGACAAAGACUGACGCUCAGGUGCGAAAGCGUGGGGAGCAAACAGGAUUAGAUACCCUGGUAGUCCACGCCGUAAACGAUGUCGAUUUGGAGGUUGUGCCCUUGAGGCGUGGCUUCCGGAGCUAACGCGUUAAAUCGACCGCCUGGGGAGUACGGCCGCAAGGUUAAAACUCAAAUGAAUUGACGGGGGCCCGCACAAGCGGUGGAGCAUGUGGUUUAAUUCGAUGCAACGCGAAGAACCUUACCUGGUCUUGGCAUCCACAGAACUUUCCAGAGAUGGAUUGGUGCCUUCGGGAACUGUGAGACAGGUGCUGCAUGGCUGUCGUCAGCUCGUGUUGUGAAAUGUUGGGUUAAGUCCCGCAACGAGCGCAACCCUUAUCCUUUGUUGCCAGCGGUUAGGCCGGGAACUCAAAGGAGACUGCCAGUGAUAAACUGGAGGAAGGUGGGGAUGACGUCAAGUCAUCAUGGCCCUUACGACCAGGGCUACACACGUGCUACAAUGGCAUAUACAAAGAGAAGCGACCUCGCGAGAGCAAGCGGACCUCAUAAAGUAUGUCGUAGUCCGGAUUGGAGUCUGCAACUCGACUCCAUGAAGUCGGAAUCGCUAGUAAUCGUAGAUCAGAAUGCUACGGUGAAUACGUUCCCGGGCCUUGUACACACCGCCCGUCACACCAUGGGAGUGGGUUGCAAAAGAAGUAGGUAGCUUAACCUUCGGGAGGGCGCUUACCACUUUGUGAUUCAUGACUGGGGUG